rnacentral:rRNA from 1 species
UACGUAGGGCGCAAGCGUUGUCCGGAAUUAUUGGGCGUAAAGAGCUCGUAGGCGGCUUGUCACGUCGGAUGUGAAAGCCCGAGGCUUAACCUCGGGUCUGCAUUCGAUACGGGCUAGCUAGAGUGUGGUAGGGGAGAUCGGAAUUCCUGGUGUAGCGGUGAAAUGCGCAGAUAUCAGGAGGAACACCAAUGGCGAAGGCAGCUCGCUGGGACGGUACUGACGCUGAGGCGCGAAAGCGUGGGGAGCAAACAGG